UACUCUGGUUUCUCUUCAGAUCGAAUAAAGCUUAAGCUUUACUAAAGUUUUCUGUGGAGAGGAUCAGUCUUUUAAAAAAAAAAAUUUUUUUGAGGCUCUGCCUCUAGCAGGGCU